GAUGAACGCUGGCGGCGCGCCUAAUACAUGCAAGUCGAGCGAACGGACGAGAAGCUUGCUUCUCUGAUGUUAGCGGCGGACGGGUGAGUAACACGUGGAUAACCUACCUAUAAGACUGGGAUAACCUCGGGAAACCGUAGCUAAUACCGGAUAAUAUUUUGAACCGCAUGGUUCAAAAGUGAAAGACGGUCUUGCUGUCACUUAUAGAUGGAUCCGCGCUGCAUUAGCUAGUUGGUAAGGUAACGGCUUACCAAGGCAACGAUGCAUAGCCGACCUGAGAGGGUGAUCGGCCACACUGGAACUGAGACACGGUCCAGACUCCUACGGGAGGCAGCAGUAGGGAAUCUUCCGCAAUGGGCGAAAGCCUGACGGAGCAACGCCGCGUGAGUGAUGAAGGUCUUCGGAUCGUAAAACUCUGUUAUUAGGGAAGAACAUAUGUGUAAGUAACUGUGCACAUCUUGACGGUACCUAAUCAGAAAGCCACGGCUAACUACGUGCCAGCAGCCGCGGUAAUACGUAGGUGGCAAGCGUUAUCCGGAAUUAUUGGGCGUAAAGCGCGCGUAGGCGGUUUUUUAAGUCUGAUGUGAAAGCCCACGGCUCAACCGUGGAGGGUCAUUGGAAACUGGAAAACUUGAGUGCAGAAGAGGAAAGUGGAAUUCCAUGUGUAGCGGUGAAAUGCGCAGAGAUAUGGAGGAACACCAGUGGCGAAGGCGACUUUCUGGUCUGUAACUGACGCUGAUGUGCGAAAGCGUGGGGAUCAAACAGGAUUAGAUACCCUGGUAGUCCACGCCGUAAACGAUGAGUGCUAAGUGUUAGGGGGUUUCCGCCCCUUAGUGCUGCAGCUAACGCAUUAAGCACUCCGCCUGGGGAGUACGACCGCAAGGUUGAAACUCAAAGGAAUUGACGGGGACCCGCACAAGCGGUGGAGCAUGUGGUUUAAUUCGAAGCAACGCGAAGAACCUUACCAAAUCUUGACAUCCUUUGACAACUCUAGAGAUAGAGCCUUCCCCUUCGGGGGACAAAGUGACAGGUGGUGCAUGGUUGUCGUCAGCUCGUGUCGUGAGAUGUUGGGUUAAGUCCCGCAACGAGCGCAACCCUUAAGCUUAGUUGCCAUCAUUAAGUUGGGCACUCUAAGUUGACUGCCGGUGACAAACCGGAGGAAGGUGGGGAUGACGUCAAAUCAUCAUGCCCCUUAUGAUUUGGGCUACACACGUGCUACAAUGGACAAUACAAAGGGCAGCGAAACCGCGAGGUCAAGCAAAUCCCAUAAAGUUGUUCUCAGUUCGGAUUGUAGUCUGCAACUCGACUACAUGAAGCUGGAAUCGCUAGUAAUCGUAGACCAGCAUGCUACGGUGAAUACGUUCCCGGGUCU
rnacentral:rRNA from 1 species